AUCGGCAAGCACGUUUCGGGUGCCCCGGUGAGCGAACCGGGGUUAAACGGGAAACAGGUGCCGGAACCACGCGUUCCGAAGGCCUGUGCUGCCCCCGCAACGGUAAGCGUCUGGCUCCCGCAUCACACGGCCACUGUCCACCUCGGGGAUGGGAAGGCGAUGCGGGACGGCCUGAAGAUUCAGGCAACGGCGCGAGCCCGGAUACCGGCCCGAACGACAUCCACGAA
rnacentral:ncRNA from 2 species